AUACGCCGUCGUGAAAUUCGUUACUCAACUUGCACUGGUGCGUAAAUGACAUCAGAAUAAAUGACAAGUGGUUGGUUUUUAUUGCGAUUUUAUCCUGGCCAUUGGCACCGUGUCGCUCGAACCGUGACUGAUGCUGUCCUUACGAGGAAUUCCAAGAUUUAGCCAAAAAUCGGGGGAACGACUGUUAAAGCGAAUCAGUGGAUUAUUAACAGGAAAUAAGAGCACGAAUCGCCAGCCGUGAAGCUGUCACGUAGCUUCGUCAAGCCGAUGGACAGUAGCUUUAGAGGAGGAUGAAUUAAUCUAAAAAGAUUGGGUAUUAAAAAAACGGUGGGAACGAAGUAAAAAAUAAAACGAAGAACAAUGUCCUAAUCGAAUUCUCGGAUAUAAAGGAAAACGACAGAUUCCAGGACAAACCGCACCGAAAUCGACUGGUGUACAAAGUGCUUUUGUAUACACAGAUCGAGACUCGGAGGUCGUUAACCAUUAUCCUGACACUGGGAUCGGUUACCGGCCAUAAGUAAGCUCACUAUGUAUUUUGCCGAUAUAAAUUCCGUGACGCCACCAUACCUGUUCAGGUUCAAUAAUCUCAGUAUUGGAGUUGGGAUUCACAAUUAAUGAAUUUCCGUAAUGGACGCCGGGCAAGUUUCCCAAUUGGUAUCUGGUAACUGGACGUUUCGGUAAUUAGCCAUUAUCCUGGCGGGUAAUGCAGGUAUGUAUCGAUAAAUAGACGGACAGGCUUCAGGCUACGGAUGCUAAGAGAACAAACAAUAAGCAGAAGUGUAUUUGGGGAUAAGAAAGAGCUAUUAAAAAUAAAUGAUACCGAUUCUCUAUGGGGGCUGUGUGUGUUUUUAUCUGUAUCCACAAUUUCUAGUGUCUGCGCCAGCUUGGGAAGGUUCAACAAUCUCUUAAACAUCACUAGGAAUCCACAAUUAAUGGAUUUCACGGCUGUCGCGAUACCAGAUCACCUCGUGGUGUCAAAUCUGGCGGACCCCGCCGAGCAGAUCGGGCCCCACAGCUGUGACAGUCAUGAGAGAGAAGGAAUAGUAAGUCCCACGAGA